ACUGCUCAGUAACACGUGGAUAACCUGCCCUUGGGUCCGGCAUAACCCCGGGAAACUGGGGAUAAUUCCGGAUAACGCACAUAUGCUGGAAUGCUUUAUGCGUAAAAUGGAUUCGUCUGCCCAAGGAUGGGUCUGCGGCCUAUCAGGUAGUAGUGGGUGUAAUGUACCUACUAGCCUACAACGGGUACGGGUUGUGAGAGCAAGAGCCCGGAGAUGGAUUCUGAGACAUGAAUCCAGGCCCUACGGGGCGCAGCAGGCGCGAAAACUUUACAAUGCGGGAAACCGUGAUAAGGGGACACCGAGUGCCAGCAUCAUAUGCUGGCUGUCCAGGUGUGUAAAAUACACCUGUUAGCAAGGGCCGGGCAAGACCGGUGCCAGCCGCCGCGGUAACACCGGCGGCCCGAGUGGUGAUCGUGAUUAUUGGGUCUAAAGGGUCCGUAGCCGGUUUGGUCAGUCCUCCGGGAAAUCUGAUAGCUCAACUAUUAGGCUUUCGGGGGAUACUGCCAGGCUUGGAACCGGGAGAGGUAAGAGGUACUACAGGGGUAGGAGUGAAAUCUUGUAAUCCCUGUGGGACCACCUGUGGCGAAGGCGUCUUACCAGAACGGGUUCGACGGUGAGGGACGAAAGCUGGGGGCACGAACCGGAUUAGAUACCCGGGUAGUCCCAGCCGUAAACGAUGCUCGCUAGGUGUCAGGCAUGGCGCGACCGUGUCUGGUGCCGCAGGGAAGCCGUGAAGCGAGCCACCUGGGAAGUACGGCCGCAAGGCUGAAACUUAAAGGAAUUGGCGGGGGAGCAC
rnacentral:rRNA from 1 species